GGGGCUGACUGGAUUUGACAGCAGGUCGAGGUGUUGUGUAAGCACGCAGAGAGCUGGUUGUCCCUCUCUAUAAUCUCUGACUUCCGACAAUUUAAUUGGCGCAAAUAACUACGCUCUCGCUGCCUAACCGAAGUACAGUAGGUUACUGGCCUUAUCUCGGCACCAGGUGCUGAGACGAGACAUCGCUCAAAAGCUGUCGUUCCGAAGCGUUUGAUCAAGCGGUGCUAAAAAAUCGGGAAUAGCCUUGGGAGACGUCUCUAUCCUUGGGUGAAACUCUUAGAGAAUAAGGCAUCGGUUGGUGGUCCAGGUCUUGCCGAUGCACGAAAAUGAAGGCUGGAAUAAGCGUGUAGAAAGCACAGGACGUCCCUGUUUGGACGAGGGUUCAAUCCCCUCCAGCUCCACU
rnacentral:tmRNA from 1 species